GGAGGUCACUGCUAUUGGGAUUCGACUAAGCCAUGCGAGUCGAGAGGGUUCGGCCCUCGGCUGACGGCUCAGUAACACGUGGAUAAUCUGCCCUUAGGUGGAGGAUAAUCUCGGGAAACUGAGAAUAAUACUCCAUAGAUCUAGGAUGCUGGAAUGCACUUAGAUUGAAAGCUCCGGCGCCUAAGGAUGAGUCUGCGGACUAUCAGGUUGUGGUCAGGGUAAUGACCUGACUAGCCUACGACGGAUACGGGUUGUGAGAGCAAUAACCCGGAGACGAUAUCUGAGACACGAUAUCGGGCCCUACGGGGCGCAGCAGGCGCGAAAACUUCACACUGUGCGAAAGCACGAUGAGGGAAUCCCAAGUGCCGACUCGUAAGAGUUGGCUGUUUCUCUGUCUAAAAAAUAGAGAGAGUAAGAGCUGGGUAAGACGGGUGCCAGCCGCCGCGGUAAUACCUGCAGCUCAAGUGGUGGCCACUAUUAUUGGGCCUAAAACGUCCGUAGCCGGUUUAAUAAAUGCCGGGGUAAAUCGUGUAGCUUAACUAUACGAAUUCCGGGUAGACUGUUAGACUUGAGACCGGGAGAAGCUAGAGGUACUCCUGGGGUAGAGGUGAAAUUCUGUAAUCCUAGGGGGACCACCAGUGGCGAAGGCGUCUAGCUAGAACGGGUCUGACGGUGAGGGACGAAGCCCUGGGGCGCAAACCGGAUUAGAUACCCGGGUAGUCCAGGGUGUAAACGCUGCUUGCUUGAUGUUAGUUGGGCUCCGAGCCCAAUUAGUGUCGGAGAGAAGUUGUUAAGCAAGCUGCCUGGGAAGUACGGCCGCAAGACUGAAACUUAA
rnacentral:rRNA from 1 species